rnacentral:rRNA from 1 species
GAUGAACGCUAGCUACAGGCUUAACACAUGCAAGUCGCGGGGCAGCAUGGGGGUUGCUUGCAAUCCCCGAUGGCGACCGGCGCACGGGUGAGUAACGCGUAUCCAACCUGCCCUUCACCACGGGAUAACCCGGCGAAAGUCGGACUAAUGCCGUAUGUUGUCCAUUGACGGCAUCCGAUUUGGACGAAAGGUUUGGCGGUGAAGGAUGGGGAUGCGUCCGAUUAGCUGGACGGCGGGGUGACGGCCCACCGUGGCGACGAUCGGUAGGGGUUCUGAGAGGAAGGUCCCCCACACUGGAACUGAGACACGGUCCAGACUCCUACGGGAGGCAGCAGUGAGGAAUAUUGGUCAAUGGGCGUAAGCCUGAACCAGCCAAGUAGCGUGCAGGAUGACGGCCCUAUGGGUUGUAAACUGCUUUUAUGCGGGGAUAAAGUGGCCCACGUGUGGGUUUUUGCAGGUACCGCAGGAAUAAGGACCGGCUAAUUCCGU